rnacentral:rRNA from 1 species
AGCGCAGGCGGAUUGGCAAGUUGGGAGUGGAAUCUAUGGGCUCAACCCAUAAAUUGCUUUCAAAACUGUCAGUCUUGAGUGGUGUAGAGGCCGGCGGAAUUCCUGGUGUAGCGGUGGAAUGCGUAGAUAUCAGGAAGAACACCGAUGGCGAAGGCAGCCGGCUGGGGACUUACUGACGCUGAGGCUCGAAAGCGCGGGUAGCAAACA